GAAUCACUGAACAAGAUAACCAUACUAGAGCAAAUGAUGUUGCAUUGCUAUUACUAUCGUGAGAUCUAUCCAGAUAUUUGGAUUUCAUGCAUAGAGUCACUAGGCCCGUGGAUUCUUUCCUAUCCAUCACUGUUCUUGCAGGGUGUAUACUUAAUGUAUCUUGGAUUGACAUUGAAUGACAAUAGUGCUGGUGUAAGAAAAGCUUCUGUCCACGCAUUGAAAAAUCUUUAUGAGGUUGAUGAUAAUGCUCCAAAUCGUGGUCGAUUCACUAGAAGAUUU